AGCCUUUUUAAUGAGGUUUUGAAAAUCUCACAAGGAUUUGCAUUUUUGAAAAAAAGCAGCUUUUUGGAGUAUCCAUGUGCAUUUGAGUAGCUCUUUGACUUCAGCUGUAAUCCCACAGUCUCUGCAGCCAUCUCGCGGGGAGUCUGUGCAUGUUCACUGAGGCGGAGCUGAAGAGAGGGAAAUUUAGGUAGUAAGCAGCAUGUAGCCUUGCUGGUAAAAUCUAAACUCUAAGCUUUACAUCCUUGCCCCAACCAAGUAUUACUGUGUCUCUGUCGCCAGGGUCCUAUGGCAUGUGUCAGUGAGCAGUGACUGUAGAUACUAAUAGAUAAUUUCUCUUUUAUCUUUACAUUCCAACUUUCUCCAUCCUCUCAUGGGCUGAGGAAGGUUUUGGGCUUUUUCCAUCGCCCAUGAAUGCCCUCUGAUUUCCUGAUCUUGGUGCUGGCAAAACCCCACUUGAAUCCACAAGCUUGUUCCUGUCUCUGGGAGCAGAUGCGCUGGAUGGCCUGCUAAACCUGACCUGCUGGUUCCCAAAGUCAGAAGAAAGCCUGGGGACCGUGUGCUUCGGCCAGGCACUAGGGCCUCCCCUCCAUCUCUGAAGCCAACACAGGAAGGUGCUGCACUGAUAAGGAUAAAAAUAUUGCCCGUUGGAAAUGGGUGCACAAGAUUUUUCAUCUUCUGAAAUGGGGAUUUGUGAUGCAGCAACCUGAAGCUUCCCCUUUCAGGUAUUUUUGGUUUCUAAUU
rnacentral:lncRNA from 1 species